CCCCAAACCUUCCUCGAGCUACGAGAUCGAAUGUCUCUCCAUCGAAUUUGACUGUAGCAACAUUACUUACACCUUAGGCCGUGUCUGACAACUACAUCGACCCAGGACUCUCCCACGUUUACAGAGAGCGACGAUCUGCUGACAACUGUACCGCACAUUCUCCAUGGCUCGUCCACCCAAGAGCUACCCACUUGUCCAUGGCUGACGAAGAACCUCUGAAGGCAUUGAAGCGUCCCGGCGUCAACACCUGCGACAGCUCCAGGUAGGAGGUCUGAAGGAUCAUCCCGUCCUUGUGUUAUACUUAACAUGAGAUGUUUCAAGUCGAUUCACAGUCUUCGAGAAUGCAACAUGACUUUCGUGAUGUAGAAUGACCGACUAAAGCUGUCUUUUGUCUUUCCUCACAGUCAACUGAAAUAUGUUUUGCCUUACCCUUCCUUACCUUCAGCUAAAUUAAUCUUUUGUCUCAGCUUCAAUUUCAACAAUCGUCUGCCUUACCCUUAGUUCAGCCAAUGGCUCCUGUUUAUCUUACCAUUAACUUUCACAAAGGUUUGUGUUGUCUUACCCUCGGCUGAAUCUUUCGAUUGUCCCUCCUUCAUCUUCCACUGAAUCUUUCUUUUGACUUUCCGCUACUUUCUUUAGUCACACUCUUUCAGCUAGGGAUUUGUUUUGUUUUUGACACUUUUACCUUCAGCUAAAGGUUCCUUUUACCCUUGCAUGUAACUAAAAGUUCCUUUUGUCUCAGCCUUGCCUUCAGUUAAAGGUUCCUUUUGUCUCAGCCUUGUCUUCAGCUAAAGGUUACUUUUACCCUUGCAUGCAACUAAAGGUUCCAUUUGUCACAGCCUUGCCUUCAGCUAAAGGUUCCUUUUACCCUUGCAUGCAGCUAAAGGUUCCUUUUGUCUCAGCCUUGCCUUCAGCUAAAGGUUCCUUUUACCCUUGCAUGCAGCUAAAGGUUCCUUUUGUCUCAGCCUUGCCUUCAGCUAAAGGUUCCUUUUAACUCAACCUUGCAUUCGGCAAAUGGUUCCUUUUAUUUCAGCCUUGCCACCAGCUAAAGGUUCGUUUUGUCUGAACCUUGCCUUCAGCUAAACUCUCGUUUAUCUUUAGCUAAAGUUUACUUUUACUAGACCCUUCCCAAUCGUUCUAGUGUUUUACCUUUACACGCAACAGCAUCUAGACAUUUCAGAACAUUAAGCAUCUUGCAUUAUUAUUGGAGAUUCUUGUCAACGUUUCCGAAAAAUUGUUCGAUACAUCAGUUAUUCGUCAAAUAAAUGCUUUUGAGAUUA